rnacentral:lncRNA from 1 species
UAGCCCCUCCCCCGACGACCCCCUCACCUGACUGUGCUACUCUCGGGACGGAGACCCGCCCCGGCUGCACCAGACCAGGUAGGCUCCUUGACCAGCCCCCAAGGCUGCUCGUAAUUACCGAGGGGGCCCCACUUCAGAUGCGCCCCGAUGAGGCCUCUGGUGCCGGGAGAGGGGGUACAGAGUUUCCCACUCAGAGCCGCAGGACGCCAGUGAGGUCUGGCGGUGCUGGGGAUCCCGCCUGCGGUCGCUGUCCCCGGAGGCCAGGACCCAACCGGCAGGUCCCGGCUGACCGAGGUCUGGCCUCAGGACCCCCGCUUCCCCUCGAGGACGAAAUCCAGACUCUCUGCCGCGAGGGCUUUCUCGGGACGUUGGAGACGUGCCUCCCACCCGCUCCCUAUGCUGCACCAGCAGAGAGCUAUUCCUUGGAGUUGGCACAGAGGACUGUACCAGGGAGAUUAUCGAGAACACUUCCGAUGGCACAGGAGGCGGUGGGGCAGAAAUGAGAGUCCCGGGGACAGAAGACAAGAGAGAGGUGAGGACACUUGAUCCUGAGAGUGCCAAGAGAUGGAGCCCAGAGCCAGGAGGCAGGCGCUG